UACGUAGGCAGCGAGCGUUGUUCGGAGUUACUGGGCGUAAAGGGGGUGUAGGCGGUUGUUUAAGUUUGGUGUGAAAUCUCCCGGCUCAACUGGGAGGGUGCGCCGAAUACUGAAUGACUUGGAGUGCGGGAGAGGUGAGUGGAAUUCCUGGUGUAGCGGUGAAAUGCGUAGAUAUCAGGAGGAACACCGGUGGUGUAGACGGCUCACUGGACCGUAACUGACGCUGAGACACGAAAGCGUGGGUAGCAAACAGG
rnacentral:rRNA from 1 species